CAGGCUCAGAGUCCUGCCUUCCACCAGGGUGUCCCUCAGAGGCCCUGGAGCAGAGGGGCCAAACCAGCGAGACAGGAAGGCCUGGGUCCUGCAGACGGAAGAGGGUCUGAGGCUUUUCUCUGGCCCUCCACCUGUCUGGGGAUGCUCGACCUGUAUUUUCUUUGGAGAAAUGUGGCUGAUGUCAUCACUGUAACCUCAUGCAUUCUGAGCCAGAACUAUUCAACUGAGCUACUCUUGAAUUCCUAACCUUCAGAAACUACCCUGCACUGGAUGGAUCAGCUGACACUACCCAGACAAGUAAUGUGGCUCAACCAGCUCUGCCAUCCCACCCAGGAACAGAAGACAGCAAGAAAAACUCCCUUCGACCCCCUAUAAUUCCAUCUCCAACCUGACCAAUCAGCACUCCCCACUUCCUAAGCCCCUACAAAUUAUCUUUAAAAACUCUGAUCUCCAAAUGCUCUGGAAGACUGAUUUGAGUAACAAUAAAACUCGGGUCUCCCCCAC
rnacentral:lncRNA from 10 species